CAGAGCUGAAGUGAAGGAGGGUGUUGCUUAGAUCUGCACAGAUUGUCCCAGCAGGACUCACUACGUACCAGGCGCUAUUCUGGGUGCAAAGAACACAGGAGGGAACAAACAGGGCCUUCGCUCUCAAGGAGCCUCACAUGCAUCUGGAGGAGACAGGCUAUACACUAAGAAACAGAUCUGAUAAUUCCAGAUUUGAUUCAAAAUUACAUUAGAGGGAGUGGGCCGAGGACACAGAUUGAACAAGAUUGACCUGACCUGACUAAUGUUGAAGCUGAAGGAUGGGACAAGAGAACCCUAGACUCAGAGAGUCGCAAGAGGCACCUUCAUCGCCUGGAUCUGCCUGGCAAAAAUCUGCUCCUCUGCAAGGCUCCACUCAUGCUCUGCUCCCUCCAGGACGGACUUCCUCAGUGCCUCAUGGGCCGCGUUGAGACUCUCCUCCUCCCUGGUGCUCCCACCACGCCUUGUUCACU